AUCCAGCUGAUGAGUCCUAAAUAGAACGAAACGCGUGUCCUGGAU
rnacentral:hammerhead_ribozyme from 1 species